GGCCGCCACUCAUCUCCAUUCGCCCCCCACCUCUUCGGUAAGAAACAUAUAUAUCACGUCUCCAUCUCCAUUGUUUUCAGUUUCUCCUUAUUACUCGAUUGAUUAUCUCCGUAGUAGAAGUAAACAAUUUAAAAAGAAGGAUGGGCAAUAGGUCGUAAAGUACGUACAACUAAACUUCAAAACGAAUGCGAAUGUCUCCUUGGAGAGCACUUCUCACGGAAUGCAAAGGGACAAGUACUACGAGCUUUCGACGAACAUCAACAAGAUCGGCAAAAGUAAGAACGUAAUAUCGCUAUAAAGUACUAUCUUUAAAAUGACAUGUAUCAUAAAACUUUAGUUUGAAUUUGAAUCUCUGAUGUUGACAAGUAGUAAUAUUGAAAUAUAGAAUAUCGAAAUAUAA